UACGUAGGGGGCGAGCGUUGUCCGAAGUUACUGGGCGUAAAGAGCGCGUAGGCGGGCUUCUAAGUGAGAGGUGAAAGGUUCGGGCUCAACCCGGAGAGUGCCUUUCAUACUGGAAGCCUUGAGUGCGGGAGAGGCAAGUGGAAUGGUCGGUGUAGCGGUGAAAUGCGUAGAUAUCAAGUGGAACACCAGUGGCGAAGGCGAGUCUCUGGACAUUUCCUGACGCUGAGGCACGAAAGCCAGGGGAGCAAACGGG
rnacentral:rRNA from 1 species